AUCUAUGUAACAGUUGGCACAUAGGAGGUGCUUGAUAAAUAUCUUAAUUAUUCCCUUUAGAGCUAUUACUAUUACUAGUUACUUUUUGAUUGCUAGAGUAGUACUGUUUUAGCAAUCAGAAAAGAGACAUAAUAGGAUGAAAUGGCCAGUGGUUCCCAUUGGGAAUUAGAAAUUAGGAAAGAGAGAGGAAAGACACAAUGAGGCACUCCUUUCGGUUGUCUAGUUUUUGUUCACAACGCUCAGCAGCCAUUGCCACACUGAAUUUUCUUUUCUCAAGUUUACUUCCUUUUCUCCUCUUUCUGUCUUUUCAUCUAUAAAGUCUAAAUCAGGUACCACUACUAGAGAGAGAAGCUGGACCAAAAAUUCUAGUUCCCUAUGCUCCUUCACCCCAGUCUCUGAUUAUAAUGCAGGUUCUGCAGACUGUUGCAGCUGGACAUACCACCAUGUCCCCUGUCCACUAUGUAUGGUCAAGAGAACAGUCUCUCAACUCAAAUACUGUUUUUUUCCAGGAAAGGGGUCUUGACAGGUGAAGUGACCAAGAACAUGAAAUGAAUAAUUUCCAAGGCUGCUUAGUGGGAAGUGAACUAUCUGCCUCAUCACAGAGAGCAGAGGGAGGUGGCUGAAAGGGGUCCCUGAAGCUCAGAAAGCUACCUGUAUGGAUGCCUGCCUAUGUUCACAGGUGGAUCCCCACUUGUACCCAGCUUUUUGUCUCAUGGAAGGAACACUGGGUCCACUUUGCUCCUAAGAGCGACUAUGACUCAUCUCGAAAUAUUGAGGAAUAUUUUGCUUCUGUUGCUUCCUUCAUGUCACUCCAACUCAGAGAAUUGGUCAUCAAGUCCCUUGAAGAUCUCGUUUCCUUGUUCAUGAUACACAAGGAUGGAAAUGAUUUUGAGGAGCCGUACCAAGAGAUGAAGUUCUUUAUACCUCAGCUGAUCAUGAUCAAACUUGAAGUCAGUGAACCCAGAAUUGUCUUCAAUCCAUCUUUUGAUGACUGCUGGGAAUUAAUAACCAACUCUUUCUUGGAAAUUAUUAAGAACUCUGAUGGGAUCCCCAAGGUACAGUAUUCACUUAAUCAUUCAUUUGUAUUUUUCUUUUUGUUUCAUACAAUAUGUUAAAAUGGUUGUGCAAGACAUAGCAAUGACCUGGAGAGGUUCUACAGUGAACCCUCGAAUUAUGACUGCCCUGACAUAUGAGCAACAUGGGUUAAUUAGGUUAAUGGAAUAUUCACAUGCCUCUUGUUAUCCAUAGUGUGUACUCAGAUAAACAUCCAGAUCUCAGCUGUAUUGACUUACAAGCAAUUUAAGUUACAACCAGCCCUCAGAAACCUCAGUUAAGGGUCCUCUGUAUUUUAUGACCAGCAAUCUUGUCCAACAAGAGAUAAAUGGAUGAAGAAAAUGUG
rnacentral:lncRNA from 1 species